GCCGUCGUGGCUCGGUGGUUGAGCAUUGACCUAUUAACCCAGAGGUCAGGGUUCAAUUCCCAGUCAGGGCA
rnacentral:tRNA from 1 species